UUCAUCAAAUUCAUUUCAGGAAAAUGGUUCAAGUGCUUCAAAGGGAAGGGAGUCAGACUACUUGGAAAAUGAUGUUGACACCUUUCACAUUGAAUGAUUGGGAUGUUAGCUGUGGUGAAUUCUAUGGACUACCUCUAUUUGAGGACUUGAAUACUAGAAAAGAAACUACAUCUGGAUCUGCCAAGUCAACCAGAAGAAAGACUGAGACUUCUACAACAGCCCCUAGAGAAAGGUCUAAAUCCUAAACGAUUAAACAUCUAUGAUCUAUAUUGAGGUAUAUACUUUUUAUUAUUUUUAGAUAAUUUUGAUAUAAAGCUACUGUUUUUAUGUUUUUUUGGGUUAUUAUUAUGUGAUAAAGAAGCUAGCCUUAUGCUUCAUUGUGAAUUUCAUUGUUGUUUUGUUUUAUUUUGGAUUGCUUGCUUUUGGUCCAAAAAGUUUGCUGAUCACUCUUCUCUAAUUUCAAGUAAGAAAUUCACACAUGAUAGAAUUAGAAGUUGUUGUCAGUUGGAAACUUAGGCUCUCCAUCUCUAUUCUCAAACCCAAAAGAUUUCAUCCAUGCUAUGCUUCUCUUCAUAGUAGUUGUUGUCAGUUGGAAACUAAUGGUUCAUUAUUGUAUGCAGAUAGUCAGAUACAGUACGUCUUUCCUUAUAACAAUAUGUGAAACAACUUCAGUUGCAAAGGUUGAGUUAAAAUUAAGCUGCACUGUUCUUUUUUUAUGAAUGUAGUUUGAAUUAUAAUUGUAUUUUGUUUGCAGCUUAAGCAUAACUAUUUCGUUCCUACUCUCUCCUUUUCGUCCUUUUGUUUCCUGCACACAUUCCCCUAUUAUAAUUAGCUCGAUGGAUUUCUGUUACAUGUGGUGAGGGAGUAGACUGAAAAAGGUGGGGUCAUUAAGAAGUUAUCGAACAAAAAGGGGAAGCGUGCUCCUCCAUCAUGUAAAGAGAUACAUCUUUUUUGGAGAACAUUCUUAAUAUCCCACAAUACUGCCUCUACUAAUACAACUGAAAAAGAAAAAGAUUCAGCUGAAAAUUCUAAGUUUGGCAGCUCAGCAGGUAGGCUGCAUUCAAAUUAUUUUUCCUCUUAAUUUCUUAUUUCAAGUGACUGAUGUUGAUAUACACAAUAUUUUUUUUUUCUAUUACUGUACCUUUUAUCUGUAGUUCAGUAAUAUGCAUUUGAGCAUUCAGCUAUUAGGCAAGAAAUCAAUUAAAAUCAUGGUUUGUGAGUGUAUGUAGAUGCUAUGAAACCUUAUACGUCAGUGUUCUGCGGAUAUGACUUCUUCUAUUCACAUAAUUCUCAGAAUAUUACUGCAGAAAUGUUACACGAUAUGACAGUUUUGUUUAUCUUACUUUAAAAGUUUAUGUCUUUGGUAUCUUCAAUAAGAUGGUUUUGAUAUGGACAGUAUGUAUGGUGGAGAGUGGACACCAGCAAGCAAAUUAAGAUAUAAUAUGCAGAACGCUAUUUUCUGUUGCACUGUUCAGUUUUUCUGCCGUCAAUUCAACAUUUCACAGGUCCAUCCUAAUUCAUGGACUGAAAUUUACGCCAGAUCUGGACAAUGUGGGAAUGUGGAAUGUGAGAUCUGAGAACUGGGUUCGACAGUACUUAGGCCAGCAGUUCUAUUUUCCUGUAUAAUUAUGUAUAAUCACAUUUCACCUAUUUUAAUUCUAAUUACACCAUGCAUAAUCUUCUGAUAGAAGAUGAAACCUCAGCAUUCUCUAAGUCUCCAAUCACUGUAAGCAUCGCCGAUUCUGGUACUAACUAAACACCCAGCCACAAAUCUCUUAUAUUUACUUUGUUACAAGAUUGCAAUUACAUUUGGACUUCUAAUUUUUGUGGCAAAAUAUUAGCAAUUAUUUGAUUCAGUAGCAUGUGUUUUUGAUUAAUGUUGACACUCAGAUGUUGACCAUGCAAGAAAAAAUCUGUACUGCUACUCAGCAUUUUAUGACCAUGGUUUCUACUCUCUUUGGCAGAAACAGAUAUAGGACAGUGCCUUGGUUGUAUCCAGGUGGACCAGUCUACUGUUGCAAUCAGAGAAUCUUUUAGGAAGUUUGAUGAUGUGCUUGAACCUGUUUGUCAUCGUUUUUCUUGGUGUUUGGGUAGCACAGUAGCUGGUCAUCUGUUUCUACGAGUGCAACAAUUUGGAUGUUCGCAAAAGACCAAG